rnacentral:rRNA from 1 species
CGGAAGCUCCCGGCCGUCAUGGCGGCCGCGGUAAUUCGAUUGGAAUUACUCCUACGGGAGGCAGCAGUGGGGAAUAUUGCACAAUGGGCGCAAGCCUGAUGCAGCGACGCCGCGUGAGGGAUGAAGGCCUUCGGGUUGUAAACCUCUUUCAGUAGGGAAGAAGCUGGUCCUUCGGGGUUGGUGACGGUUCCUGCAGAAGAAGCGCCGGCUAACUACGUGCCAGCAGCCGCGGUAAUACGUAGGGCGCAAGCGUUAUCCGGAAUUAUUGGGCGUAAAGAGCUCGUAGGCGGGUUGUCGCGUCUGCCGGGAAAGUCCGGGGCUUAACUCCGGAUCUGGGGGGGGUACGGGCAGACUAGAGUGCAGUAGGGGAGACUGGAAUUCCUGGUGGAGCGGUGAAAUGCGCAGAUAUCAGGAGGAACACCGAUGGCGAAGGGAGGGCUCUGGGCUGGAACUGACGCUGAGGAGCGAAAGCAUGGGGAGGGAACAGGAUUAGAUACCCUGGGAGUCCAUGGCGUAAACGUUGGGCACUAGGGGGGGGGGACAUUUCAAGUUUUCCGGGCCGGAGCUAACGCAUUAAGUGGCCCGCCUGGGGAGACGGGCGGAAGGGUAAAACUCAAAGGAAUUGACGGGGGCCCGACAAGCGGGCGAGCAUGGGGAUUAAUUCGAUGCACGCGAAGAAUCUUACCAAGGCUUGCAUGAACCGGAAUGAUGCACAGAUGUGCAGCCACUUGGUGGCCGGCUUACAGG